AUUUUUGUGCAGAGGCAAUAUUGCAGCUAAUGAGGUUCUAAUCAAAGCACGAUUAUUGCUGAUUUAAAGUUGCCAUCAUUGCUAAUGUACAAUUAGGUGAGGUAACAUUUUAACAUAAAAUUUUA
rnacentral:snRNA from 1 species